CAUCCCAGGAAAGUGACAAAGGCACCAAGCCAGCCAGGGAGGGAAGGGGCGAGGCACACGGUGAGGAAGGCCGCCCUGGCCACAGCCUCACGGGAACUAAUCUCUGGGCCACGGGGCUCCUCCCACAGCCUGGGCUCCGUCCCUGAGCCCCAGUGUCCAAUAGCGCCUCCUGUCGCUGCCCUGGAGGCUGCAGACCCCAACGGAGGGCAGGCUCUGUGCCAGGCCGGGCACGCACCACCUCGCUUCCCCAGCACCCAGGAGCUGGGCCCCACAACCACGCCAGAACCUAAUUUUUUUUCAUUCGCGCCCCAUUGACUAAGCACUGUAAAGCGCAAGGCGGUGGGCGCCGCCUCAUUCCACUGGACCCCACUGCGAGGCAGACGUUGUCACCCCGUCUACAGGCCUCUACGAGACUCGACCCCAGAGGAGGGCAUCUCCACUCCUGAGGGAUCCCCCAUUCCUCAUUCAUUCCCCUGGUGAGUUGCCCACCAUCUGAGGGCUCGGCCUCCCACCCCACGGCGGGCCUGGCGCCUGGUGGUCAGGUGCACGGCUCACCAGCCAGGUGCCCUGGACACCCUUGCAGGCUUGGUUCUUGGCUAUAAAAUGGGAGAGGUGAUUUUACCACCUGGAGAGCUGGCUAGAACGACACGUGUGUGACAGGCACUGGGCACAUGGGCGUGCCAGCAUCCUCCCGAUCAAGGGGUCCCUCUUCCCUGGGACCCGGCCUGCCUUCCCCACCUGCUCACCCCUGCUGGGGCUGAGGCAUUGCCGUGGGCUCCCUCCCGAGUUCUUGGCAGGCACCUCGAUGACAUGCUGGUUUCUGGGCUGAACCUUCCAGCUCAAUCCAGCUCAUGAUCAUGGAACCCCAGGCAGGAAGCAGAACCUUCUGGAAGGCGCAGAGGUGACCCGCCCUGGCUGUGAACCUUGCUGUCCAGCUACGGCCGUGCUCAAGGAUGUGUCCAGGACCACUUACUGGCCGGUCCACGGCAGGACCUGUGUCAUCUGCCCAAAGCAACACGGCUAGUUAAAAGUUUUAUUGAUUGAACACAGUUGAGCGUAAGUAGUAAAAGUCCCCCGAUGUAACCCACUUUUUCUUAAUGGGUAAUCUCAGACACUCGAGUUUGUAUGUUAAAGGAGCUUUAGGACAAUUUAAGAGCUCAUAAAAUUUUAUAGUCCCAGUUGAAAUCAGAGUGAUAACUCUGGUCUGCACAGCUACAGUUUGCUAAAUGUCUCUCAUCUAUUUUUUCCCCCCGUUUAUUGGAAAGUUAACAUCUGCUCUGCUACGGGGAGGAAAGAAAAGGGAAGGAAAAUAAUGAUCUAUUUUUCCAGAACAGAGGUGAGAGAUUCGGCUCUCCUCGCGGUAUCUUCUUUUCCAAACACAUGAUUUUCCUUGAAGUCAAAAAGAGCUUCCAUAAACAGCCGACCCACAGUUCACAGAGCACCCCAGCAGGCACGGUCCCCACAGGGACUGCCGACACCCGGAGUCCAUCCAGGCCACGGCCAAGGCCUGGGAUCAGCCCAAACCUCGUGGAGCCCAUUAAGGGUCACGACCUGGUAAUUUAUAAAGCACCCACUGUGUCCAUAGUCCACGGGGCCACAAAGGCCACCAGUUCGCUUCCUGGGAGGAGCUUACCUUUGGAAGCUAAAACUGUGACAGCUCUGCACCCAAGCAGGGGGCUCCGGGAAGGGGGGCCUUUCCAAAGGCUUCUGGGAGGAGGCGGAGAUGGCCCGGGGCUCCACAGACGGGGGAGAUUCAGAAGCUGGGUCCAAGUGACAGGAGAGCCCAGUGUCCUCGCUACACCACGUAGCAUGUCACCUGACCUCCGGGAGCCUCAGUUUCCUUUCAAAUGGGACUCACGUCAGUACCUCCCUCAGAGUCAGGGUCAGUGGGCUCUCCUCGCUGACCCACCCCCCUGGCCAGCCUCCUGGGCUCCUGCCCACCAGGGAAAAGGAAGAAACGAGGCCACGGGAACUUUGUCUCCUGCCACGUGGAAGCAGCCAGCCGUGGUGAGGCCACACACUGUCACACAGACUUCAGAUGCCAGAGAACCAAGGGGGCGUCCAGCAGGGUGAGGCCCUGCGGCCUGCUGCCUGGUGGGGUUCCGGGACUCCGGGAAACUGUGCUGCCACCGGCGCCCCAGGUUGGCCUCAGACCGGGCUGGCGGAGCCGCCCAGUGUUUGAAACCUCACUUGACUGGCAAUAGCCGGCCUGCCAAGGAAUCUGCAGAUCUCCACAUUCAUGAAUGCCCUGUGGGGUGUGACCCCGCGAGACGCAGGCAGGGGUCACAGAGAAGCGCCUGCGAGCCCCCCUCCUGAUAAGCCACACGAGUGAAGGGGAGUGGUCCUCAGAGCACUGGGCUCUUCUUGGCUGGGCCGGCUGCUUCUUCCAAGGAGCAGCUUGCCUGGGGUCCAGAUGCCCAAGCCCCUGAUGAGAAUCCAGCCGCGGAAUGACAGGGCUGGACAGUGGGCCCGGGCCCAUCGCUGGAGCCACACACUGGCCCCGGCGCCCAGUUCCCCACCAUAGCUGGAGCAAAGGGCAAAAGCCACCUCCCCAAUCUGUGUUGAGACUUCACAGACGGCAGAACAGUGCCGGGCUCUGCUCCCACCCGCCAGCCUGUGCCACCUCCUCCGUCAGAGCGGGCUCCUCCACCAUCCAUCCCUUUUCAGGCCACCUCCUAGAGACCAGCUGGCCACCCGUCUACAGCAGCCCACCUCGGCCCCUCAGGCAUCCCCUUGCGGCCUCCUCUCAAAGCGCUAAGCUGUCUCUAAGUUGGUCUACUCUGUGAUCUGAUCCGUGUUCAUCUUCUGCCUCCGUGGGGCCUGACACGCUCCUGCUGCAUCUCCCGAGCCGAGAGCCCUGGAGGGAGGUCAAUAUCUGCUGAAUGAUGACUGAAUGUUGAAACGGAAAAUGCUCUGUCACCAACACACCUGAGUUGAAUCCCAGCCCUGCUGCUGUCUUGUGACCGUGGGCCAGUUACUUAAUCUUUCUAGUCCAUAAAACAGAGAGAGUGACGCCGAGGUCCCCAGGCCAGCGCCCUCUCCCCUCCUCUCUGCCUGCCCACGAUCCUCAGAAUGACAGGAUUGAUUCAAAGGCCUUGGUGCCACCGCCACCCCAAAGGCAAAAGCUGCAGUCGCUCUGCUCCCUCGGUGCCUGGGCGCUCUCAUGAGAGGCUCCGAUGUGUUGACACGAGGGCACUGUGGGCACCGAAAUAAUCCGAUUGCACAUGGAGAGAGGGAGAGCGAGGGGGAGGGAUAAUCGAGCAUCAGACAGGCAGCUAUUCUCCAGGAGGCCAUUUCAUCGUUCUUUCUCAUAUUCCCGGUUUCUAAGAGAUCCCCUAAAUAAAGCAGUUGUAUUAUUUUGUGACUCAUAAAAUACACGUUAUAGUGAUAACAUAGCUAUAAUCAUAACUACACUGAUUGAACACAUACUACACACCGUAAAGCUCUCAAGGUGGGUCUUACUCUCCCACUUCGCAGCUGGUAAAACCGUGGCUCACAGCCAUGCUGCCCUGGCCACACCUCCCGGCCACGGGCCACGCUGGGUCCCACCCUCCCCGCUCCACGGCCUUUAAGGCCUUUCGGAUCCCAGGCAUUCGCGCUCAGCCCUCUUUCUUCGGGUCCGGGGUCACGCUGCUUUCCAUUUCCAAGCCUGGUUACUACAGAUGCAAAAUGAAAAAUGAGCCAAUAACCCAGUAAAUCUGAGCCACUCGGCGCGAAAUGCAAUAACGGCGGUGAGGGCCGGGCUGCGUUCCCAGCCAGACAGAUUAAGCAGCGCCACCGGGGAGCUGCCCGCUCUGGCUCUCGGCGACGUCGAAAGGGCACAGAAAGGUCUCACCCUGAAGGACAGAGAGGGUCGCACCCGGGCGAGGGCCGGGCGGGCGGGCAGCUCUGCUCCUCUGGCCCUCGGCCUCCAGGCUUCCCAGGGCUGCCCUGGGGCCCAUGGAGCACACACACACCUGGAAAGUUCUGGCCCCAGGUGAGGACUCCGAGGACGAUGGAGCCGCCCCCAUUUGUGAAAUGGGCACAAUCCCUCAGAUCUCGAAUGAUGACUUUCUGAGAGAAAACAACAAAGGUGACGAGACGUUUUGAAAGGAAUAUAUACGCAGUCAUGCACUGUAGCCAAGGGGACACGUUCUGAGAACUGCAUCGCCGGGCGAUUUCAUUGUUGUGGGAACACUAUAGAGUGAGCACACACAAAGCUCCUACACACCUGGGCUUCAUGGGGCUAAUCCCACAGGACCACUGUCGUCCACAUGGUCCGGGGUUGAUGGCAUCAUCGUGAUGCGUUACAUGACUGUGAGAUGCAAGAGCAGGUCACUCUGCCUUACGGCCCUACUGGCCCCUCCCGGGAAAGGGAUGCACAGCGGUGGCAAUGCCCGAGAUAGAAGGAUUUGCCACCACAACGCAGAGGUCCGCCUGCCAGACAAGGUUCUCCAUCCUGGCUAAAUGUGGCAGUCCCUGGGGAGGUUUGAAAACACUCACGCCCAGGUCUGACCCCAGAGACUAAGAUUUACUGGCCCGGCAUGGCCAGCCCAGAAUGCCGGCCUGGACCGCCUGCCUUGGGGAGAGCCCAUAGACACCUGCCCAGCCACACCGGAGCCUGAGGCGCCCGGAAAGGACAGUGAU